rnacentral:rRNA from 1 species
UCCUACGGGGGGCAGCAGUAAGGGAUAUUGCGCAAUGGGCGAAAGCCUGACGCAGCAACGCCGCGUGGAGGAUGACGGCCUUCGGGUUGUAAACUCCUUUUGGCCCGGACGAGGAAGGACGGUACGGGUCGAAGAAGUCACGGCUAACUACGUGCCAGCAGCCGCGGUAAAACGUAGGUGGCGAGCGUUAUCCGGAUUUACUGGGCGUAAAGCGUGUGCAGGCGGUCGUUCAAGUGGUGUAUGAAAUCGCCCGGCUUAACCGGGCGGGGUUAGGCCAGACUGGACGACUGGAGUGCGGGAGAGGGACGUGGAAUUCCGGGUGUAGUGGUGAAAUGCGUAGAGAUCCGGAGGAACCCCAGCGGCGAAGGCGGCGUCCUGGCCCGCAACUGACGCUCAGACACGACAGCAUGGGGAGCGAACGGGAUUAGAUACCCUGGUAGG